GUGUUGGGGCUGGUGGUUGCAGACUUGGUGUUGAGAAGAGGCAGGAAAGCUCUUCGAGGAUGCGAAGGAGGGGAGGACAGGCAGAGCAAAGUGUUGGAACCUGAGCCGUGAGCCAUUAUCUUAAAUGUUAAACGGAUUUUAAAAAACCUGUAGGAGGAGAGGCCUAGGGAUUUUCUUUUGUUAUGAUUUCCUAGGACUUCAAGUUUCUGCCAUCCCUAAGUGUGAAAGUGGAAUAGGAGUGCUCUGCAGAUAUUUGUCUCCCAGAAAGAGGAAGGCCUUUGAAGAGACGAAGUCAGUGCAGAUCUGAUGCUCUAACAGCCCUGAUUACUUCAUAGGGGAAGAAGGCUAGCAUCUCUAGUAAACGGAAUACCAUUAGCUUCAAAGUAUAGAUACUGGAGGGGGGGCAGAACAGCACUGUCUGAUAGAACUUUCUACAGAUGGAAAUGUCUCUGAGCUGUGCCACAUAGCACUGAGCACCUGAAAUGUGAUCUGCGCAAAUAAGGAACUGAACUUAAAAAAAUUUCUUUUUUGUGAUGAAUUAACCACAUUUACUUCGCAAACUGAACUUUUUGAUUUUAUGAGUUUUAGCUGCUUGUCGCCAGUGGCUUCUGCAUGGCACAGCACGGUUUUGGAUGAUAAACCUUGUGCGUGGAUACCCUGUGGAUAAGGUCACAGCCCUGUUUGCUCUGUGGAUUCCUGUUUUGUCUGCCUGCCUGUGGCUUGUGUUAGUGACCUGUCUCACCCACAGAUGCUUAGUUCAUGGUAAAGAUCUGCACCUGCAGGGAGCCCUGGCGCAGGAUGGAGGAACAGUGGGAAGCGAGCGCCAGGGCCCCUUAGUAUCUCGAGGAGAGCCAUGAAUUUCGUAGCAGGGGACACACAGUGCCUCCUCCCGGUGGUGCUGCUGAUGUCUGAGUGGCUAGUGUCCCUUUCUUAUGCCCCUUGUCUGCUAGCAUGUUCAGUUCCUUUUUAAGAAAAAUUUUAUUGGAGUAUAGUUGGCUUACAGUGUUGUGUAAGUUUCACCAAAGUGAAUCAGUUUCACAUGUAGUUAUAUUUAUGUCCAUCUUUCUCAGAUUCUUUUCCAUGUAGGCCAUCGCAGAGUAUUGAGUAGAUUUCCCUGUGCUAUGCAGUAGGUCCUUGUUGCUUACCAAUGUUUAAAUAGUGGUGUGUAUGUGUUGGUCUCAACCUCUCAAUUUAUCCCUCCCCCAACGCGGGAUCCGAGCCGCGUCUGCAACCUACACCACAGCUCACGGCAACGCCGGAUCGUUAACCCACUGAGCAAGGGCAGGGAUCGAACCCGCAACCUCAUGGUUCCUAGUCGGAUUCGUUAACCACUGCGCCAUGACGGGAACUCCCUGUUUUGUUCUUUUUUAUGGCUGAGUAAUAUUCCAUUGUACAUAUGUACCACAUCUUCUUGAUCCAUUCAUUGGUCAAUGGACAUUUAGCUUGUUUCCAUGUCUUGGCUGUUGUGGAUAGUGCUGCAGUGAACAUAGGGUUGCAUGUAUCUUUUUGAAUUAUAGUUUUUGUCCUGGAGUAGGAUUGCUGGAUCAGAUGAUAGUUCUGUGUUUAGUUUUCUAAGGAACUGCCAUACUAUUUUCCAUAGUGGUUGUACCAGUUUACAUUCCCACCAGCAGAGUAGGAGGGUUCCCUUUUCUCCACACCCUCUCCAGCAUUUGUUAUUUGUAGACUUAAUGAUGGCCGUUCUGGGGACUCUCUGUUUCUAAUCCUGAAUCACUUUCUCCUUACAUUUUUUGGGGGUGAGCUGAGCUGCCCUGUAUUUACUCCUGCCAGUGUCUUGUUCUCUGGUCACAGAAGAGUGCUGUAUUUAUUAUACUGAGCUUUAAGUGUGCUCAGUGGCCCAAAUGGCUCUUUUCUUUAAAGCCAAGUACAACAUUUCAAUUAAAAUAUCAUGCACACGUCAGCUCACCUUGUGCUGUGCAGGUGUUUGGUCCAGUGUCUGAGGAUUUUGGAGGACCUCCCUCAGACGUCCAGCCAGUGCCCUCGUUCUGAGUGUGCUGUGAAAGCCCAGUGUCCUCAGGUACACGCACACAUGGCUCUGAGCCCGAGGGCUUCUUGGGAGGCCCCUGUGGAACAGAGCACAGGUUUCUCCUUCCCUCUUGUCCCGCUGUCCCUGUGGAGGGCACAGACUGGCACGGGUCGGUCAGAAAGGAGAGCGCCGGUGGGGAUGGCUGCGGGGAUGGGCAUGGGAGUGGGUCCCGGGUGUCGCGGCAGGAGCCGGUGUGUGUCAGAGCACCGUGUAAGUGGUAGGCACGCUCUGACUACAGAGUAGGCUUCACUCAGGAGUGUUUGGAGCACGUUUGAAGGGAGAGCGAGCUGUCUGCAGGUGGAGACGAAAGAGUGUUCCAGGCUGAGGGAGCAGCGGAAGCUAAGAGGGAGGUGUGAGGCCUUGGGGUCAUCAUGGGGUAGGGGUGACAUGGAGACGAGGGGAGCGAGGGGAGCUGGUCGGGCAUUGAACUCCCUGCCAGAGAGAGGGAGUAUUAAUACAUGAUUUUAUUUGUCAUAUAUAUGCAUUUUAUACAUGCGAUAUACAUUUAUACAACGUGUGUGAUAUGUGUACAUAUAUUUGUCUUUUUUAAAUUUAAAAAUUUUUCAUCUUGUAUUUUUUUGUCUUUUGUCCUUUUAGGGCCACACCCGUGGCAUAUGGAGGUUCCCGGACUAGGGGUCUGAUAGGAGCUGUAGCCGCUGGCCUAGGCCACGGCCACAGCAACACGGGAUCCGUGCCGUGUCUGCAACCUUCACCACAGCUCACGGCAGCGCCGGAUCCUUGACCCACUCAGCGAGGCCAGGGAUCGAACCCGCAACCUCAUGGUUCCUAGUCAGAUUUGUUUCUCCUGUGCCAGGCAGGGAACUCCCUAUUUAUGUCUUUGAAAAAUAUUUUUGGGAGCCUGUAGGAAGAACAUAUGGUCAUCAGUUCUCUAAGUCUCUGUUUUCAUAUUUAUAAAACGGUAGAAAUAAGAAUGCCUCUGUUUAUCUCCUGAGUUGUUAUCAGAUUGAACAGUCUGUGUGACAGUGCUCGGGGGCUAUGGACAGUCAGCUGUGAGCUGAGACUUCGCACUGCCUCUAACACUGACUCCACCUCUCCUCCUGAGGAGCAAGAACCCUGAGUGUUUGUGGGGCACCUGCUGUCCGGCGACAAAGUGGCAUCAUUUCCCUGUCCCCUUGUACUGUGGCUGGUGACAAAGAUUUGGCUAUUGAGGAGGAAGUGUGGUUUGCUGUUUCUGAGAGGCUUUUGUGGUGGGGACCUGCUUCCCCUCAUUGGCUGGAGCUUAUAGUAGCCGUCUGGGACCACAAGAUUAAGGGACAUACCUGGGGCUGGGCGCCUGGAAAGACCUUGGGCCCCGCAACUCGGUGUGAGCAAGAAACAUAUUUGAGUAUUGGUUAAGCCAUGGGCAAUUUGGGGUUUCUGUUCUGAUCAAUUGAAGUCAGUCUUAAGGGAGCCAGCUUAUGUUACAUAGUAACACAAAUUUGAAAUCAUUAAUGGUUUGAUUUAAUGAAAGAUUGUUGAUAAAAUUAGGACAGUUUAAUCAGUAAAAACUGCUUAGAUUUCCACAGAUAACUCACACUCUCACAAUGGCUUCUGCUACACUGCUCACUGGGAUUAGAAUGGUAGAAUUCUUAGUCCUUUGGGCUGUUUCAGCAUCUGUCAUGGGUUAAAUUGUGUCUUCCCCAGAGAUAGGUUCCAGUCCCCGUACCUGUGAAUGUUACCUUAUUGGGAAACAGGGUCUUUGCAGGUGUAAGACUCUCCAGUGAGAAUAUCCUGGUAUCAGAGUGGACCCUCCAUCUGAUGACCACUGUCCUUAGAGGGAGGUCUGAGAGAAAACCCACGGGGACCCACAGGGAUGCACCUGUCAGCAGCAUGUUACUUACUGCCCGGUGCUGGCUUCUAUGUGGUGUGUGCUGUGAGGAGUCCUGGACGUGGAUGAUGCUUUAGUGUUUAACUGAAGUCUCCUUGAGGAACUUAGGCCAAAUGACGAAAUUAGAAGUUUGGGUUUGGCCAACGCCUUGGAGUAGAUAGUGGCUUCGUCAGCAUCUUUUUUUCUCAGGUCCUUCUCAUAACAGUCUUUGUUUUCCUCUUUCCAGGCCUGUCUUUGACCCGAGGGGGUUCUGGGGCAGAAUGCUUUGCUGUGGGCCCAGGCAGCUUGUGACAGGUGCUGCCCUCAGGCAGAAAGUCUCUUCGGGCCCUGCUGCCUUUUUCUCGGGAACCUGCAUGACUGGAGGCUGGACUGCCUAUACUGCAGCUUGAAAGAUGUUCUGAUCCAGCAGCUGCCCUGUGGGCCCCAGGAUUCUGAGGCGGCUUCACACAUGGGAAGUGGGCCUGGAAUACAGUAGGGGAUGUGGCUCCCUCCUCCCCACAACCAGAAACUAGUUUCUUAUUGUUUUAUAGAUGUGGCUUUUGAGAACAGUUGAAAUUUAAAGUCACCAAUCAAUGCAGUAGCUAAUACUGUGAGAUGAAAUACUGUGAGAGGAAAAACCGAGGUCAUGUGGCCCAUUAGUGGGACAUCAGGCUGGAAUUUGCUCUCUUAAAACAGGGUUCUGUUUUUUUUCUGUUAAGGCUUUAUUUGAUCCAAACCCCUAAGUAAUUGAGAUGUUGUCAGCAAAACACCCAUUUCCUAUUUCUGAGUUUUUCAGGAAGAAUGGAAGCAAACAUUUUUCAUAAUAGAGACCCCAGGUCAGGGGUCUUUCUCUGUAAGGUCAAGGUCAGCAGGUGUGGGGUGGGGCCAGCAGGAAGGAGAGGAAGGAGGGGCUGGGAUGUGUCUUCUCACCCAGGCUGUGCCUGACAGCUCACACCCCGUGGUUAAUUCCUGAUCACAAGGCCUCACUGGUUGAAGGCGAGGCUGGUGAACGUGGUCUUUGUGUGGACGGCACGUGCCCUGCUGAUGUCUGAGGUUUCUGUUACUCCAGAAAGAAGAGAAUGGACACGGGGCAGGCUUGGGGUGGGGGCAGUAGCCUCCUCUACAGAGCAUCAGGGUUUUAAGUCUGUUCCUUCUGUUUUACUAUUGUUCACUGAAGAAAGGAGUUGGGGUAGCACGAUAUAGUAACUACUAGAAGGAAUUUAAAAAAAAUGGCUUUAGUAUGUUGAGCCCUCCGUUUCUUUGGAUAUAAUACAGCAUUUUUAAAUUCCACGUGCCCCAUCUCUGUUCACGAGUAGAAGAAAAUAUUCAGUAAACACAUUAGCAUCAUAAACAGCAUUUUAGGAGGCGUCUCCUCUACUGAAGAGAAGAGUAUUUUGAAGGAUUUGCCUCCCUCCUUGGUUUAUCUUAAGUUCUGUUGUGUGCGGACAGUUGCAGUAUCUGCUCAUCCACACACCUUUAUUAACCUUGUCCCUCUGAGCAUCUGCUCUAGGGGAAAAGCUUGGCUUUCUGGAACCUGGUAACUUUGCUUGGAGUUAAUGUGCAGCUAGGUGCAUAGGGAAGUAACUAAGGUACCCUUUUAAACACCCGUCUCUCCCCUGUUUUCAUGGGAUUUUACUGUGUUUACCAUUGGAACUUACUGGGGAGAGGGGUCAGUUUUGACCGUUUCUUAGAUAUUGACCUUAAACAGAGAGAAUGAAGAAUCACAAGAUCUGUAUAACCCGUAAGCCUGGGCGAAGGUCUACAGUGAAGUUCACAGGGUCAGAGUCGAUCGUUCGAAUUUAAUAAUCAGUCCUAGGAGUUCCCUUGUGGUGCAGUGGGUUGUAGAUAUAGUGUCGUCAUUGUCAUUGCGGUAGCUUGGGUUGCUGCUGUGGCAUGGGUUUGAUCCCUGGCCCGGGAACUUCCACAUACCAAGGAUGUGGCAAAAAAAAAAAAAAAAAA
rnacentral:lncRNA from 1 species